UGGGGAAUUUUGGACAAUGGGCGAAAGCCUGAUCCAGCAAUGCCGCGUGUGUGAAGAAGGCCUUCGGGUUGUAAAGCACUUUUGUCCGGAAAGAAAUCCUUGGCUCUAAUACAGUCGGGGGAUGACGGUACCGGAAGAAUAAGCACCGGCUAACUACGUGCCAGCAGCCGCGGUAAUACGUAGGGUGCAAGCGUUAAUCGGAAUUACUGGGCGUAAAGCGUGCGCAGGCGGUUUGCUAAGACCGAUGUGAAAUCCCCGGGCUCAACCUGGGAACUGCAUUGGUGACUGGCAGGCUAGAGUAUGGCAGAGGGGGGUAGAAUUCCACGUGUAGCAGUGAAAUGCGUAGAGAUGUGGAGGAAUACCGAUGGCGAAGGCAGCCCCCUGGGCCAAUACUGACGCUCAUGCACGAAAGCGUGGGGAGCAAACAGGAUUAGAUACCCCUGGUAGUCCACGCCCUAAACGAUGUCAACUAGUUGUUGGGGGAUUCAUUUCCUUAGUAACGUAGCUAACGCGUGAAGUUGACCGCCUGGGGAGUACGGUCGCAAGAUUAAAACUCAAAUGAAUUGACGGGGUCAUA
rnacentral:rRNA from 1 species